UAUGUAAAUUUUCUUGCUCGAUCCUCGAGGCAACGAACAUUCACCUUUACAUGUCUUUGUGCAGAGUGUGAUGGUAUUGAAUGGAGAAGGAACAAUGUACGACUACCAAAGAGUAGCUAUGGGGUUGUUGCACUCAAGAAAGAGCUUAGGCCUUAUCACUCAAUUAAUCUGAAACACAGCACACUGUCAACUUCUUAUUUUGAUGCACAUCACUAUAGCUGCCAUACACUUAACUCUCAGAAUAAUAUAUUUGAAAACUCUCGAGCAUAUAUUGAUGUCCCAUAUGCUACAAUCAUCAAGAGACUAAAAGGAUCAACAUACGUCCCUGGAGAAACACUCACUCAGAAAUGCUCUGCUCGUAGUCUUUACCCAAUGACUGUCACAUGGCAAGAAUCAAAAUUUCUAUUUGCAAGAAAAGAUAAAAUAGAUUCACGUAGUACUACAGGCCGUUAUAAUAUACUGAACAGUAAAAUCAGUGUCAGAAUCUCCUUGCUAACGCCACAUACAUUUAAUAUGUGGUGUGAAUUCUAUACAACCAUUUAUUAUCAACCGGACAACUUUACAAAAGUACAUGGUCUGUACCAAAAGGGACUAUUAUUUGAAAAACCAAAUAAAUCUGGAGUUUCUGGCACUACAGGAUAUAGCACAAUGAGAGUACAUUAUCCAUCAUCUAUCACCUCUAAUGUCACUAAUAUCACAAUAAAUGAAACUGAAAGGAUGUACCUGUGGUGUUUUGCUAGAGGUGUUCCUCAA